AAUUAUGUGAGCGGGAAUAUAAAGUCACAGAUACGGCCAACACUUAGCGAAAAAUUAGAUUUAAGCGCCAAAGAUAUUUUUUAAGCGGCUUCAACAAUGCUAUCAAAGACAUAUAAUAGCAUUUUUAUAACGCUAAGAAAAGCUCUUUGAACCCCUAAACUCUAAACAUGGUUUUAAACUCUAAACAUUGUUUUAAACCCAAAACUUUAAAGACAACCUUUAAACCUCUAAUCUUUUCAUACUAUAACUUCAAAUCUUAAAAUUAAAAUCAAAAUUUAAUCUUUUUAAUCUUAAUCUAUAAUUUCCUAAACACAUAUCUUUAAUCUUUAAUCAAACUCUAUAUCUUAAAUCUAAACUUCAAAUGUAAACUAAACAUUCAAUACUCUAAAUAUAAACUUCAAAUCUAAAUUAUUAAAUAUUUAACUACAAAUCGUCUAGUAUUCAAAUCUAUUAUUUUCUAAUCUUAAUCCAAAACACUAAAUUUUAACCCUAAACCUCAUAUUUCAACAUCAACACCUUAAAUCAUAAAACUAAAUUUACUCUUAAUCGUAUUUUUUGUAAAUCAUAAAAUAUAAAUUUAAAACUUUUGAAAUUUUGAAUCAAACAUACAAAUUUAUAAAAGAAUUAUAAAUCAGAUUUUUUAUAAACAUGCAAAUUUAAAAAUGAUGACCAAAAUCAUAAUGUUGAUAUUAAUCUAAUAUUUUCAAACUUAAACAUCAAUUCAUAAAAUAAAUAUCAGUUUAUUAGGUUCAAAAAAUAAAAAAAAAAUAGACUUAAAUUAUAAACUACAAAAUAUUAAUUUUGAAAUAAGAUAUAACUAAUAAAAAUCACUUACAAAACAAAUUAUCAAAUAUGGAAAGACAAAACAAAAAUAAAAAUAGAAAAGCAAAAACAAAAUUGUCUGGCCAAUCAGAUUAAAAUACAUGGAUCACACUUUUGAACCGUUAGAUUAACUUAGAUCUGAAGGUUAAGAUUUAUUCCUUUUAAUUUUAAUUUUUAUUUUCUCCUCUCUCUCUCUUUCUCACAAACUCCACGAGAUCUGGUCUUCUUGUUCUUCUCCUUCAUUCUCACCUCUCCAAGCUUACUGUUUCUCUCAUCUCUCCUAUCUCUCUCCACGCCUCUCUCAUCUCUCUCUCAUCGCGUCUCCUCCUCGUCUCACCACCACCAGGGUCGCCCUCUCACCCCCACCACGGUCGCCCUCCCACCACCACCACGGUCGCACUCCCACCACCAUCACGAUAGUUGGGGAGGCAAGGUUCAUGGUGGCUGGAGGAGGCAAGGUCCAUGGCGGCUUGAGGACGGAAGUCUCGUGGCAGCUGGAGGAGGCAAGGCUCAUGGCUGUUGGAAGAGGGGCAAGGUUAUGGAGGAGGCGGCUGCAGUCUUUUCUUUUUUUUUUUUAGGUUUAGAUUUGGUUUAGUAUAAACCCAUGUUCGAAACUACGCUAGGCGUAACGCGUGCGGUUGGAUAGGGCCUAGCGCCGAAUCAAUUAAUCGGAGAUUAUACGGGGAUUAAUCGGGGCGUAAUUUUAGAUUAUUUAUAUACAUUUAUGGGUUUAUAUUUUAAAUAUGUAAACUAGACAAUAAUCUCGCAUGGUUCAGUGGCUAGACGCAUUUAUUACUCCUUACAGGUCAUGAGUUUGAGUAAAGGAGAGCUCUUUUUAUUCCAUUUUGUAACGUUUUAGGUUAAAUGAAAGCAAAAUGAUGAAAAUAACCCCGUCUCCUACCUU